GUGAAUGUCCUGAUGAGGAAAGGGGAGGGUGCUCUGGGCAACAGUCUAAGCUCUAAUCCAAAGCUUAGCAUGCCAGCUGUUCCCCACCCACCCUACCAUUAGCUCUGAAGAUGAGCCCAGCAGUGGCUCCGGGCUGUGACACUCAGUCCAGGCUCUACAGCCCUGGGAUGAAUAUGGUUUAUCUCCCUGCAGAGCCCAUUCCACUGACGUGCAAGGGAAACUCAGGCUGGUAAGAAAUUUAACACAGGCAAAUAAAUUCUAAAGCAGGAUCCAACAUUGACAUGAACUUGCUUCAUUUGCAGAUGGGAUCUCACUAGCUCCUGCAUUCUCUUGCCUCAGCCUCCCGAGUGCUGCGAUUAGAACUGUGCAACACAUCUGAAAACACUAGUUUCGAAACCAAAACUGAGUCUCAAAAAAUUCUACCCUCGCUCAUCAACUGCCUAGUGGUCCUGGAGCCCAGUGAGCGGUGUCAGCGCUUUUCCCUCUGUGAUGGUAAAAGGCUGAGGAGCGCCCACAGCCUCAGGAGCAGAGGAAGUGUGGCAUCCCAACUAAGCAUCACAGACAGUGUCUGCGCUAAGAGACAUGGACGAUUGCUUUGCAGUGCUAGAGGCGCUGUGAGCAGCACAGUGUCAGGUUCCUGGCACACAGCGGCCCCUAUGGGAUGGGCAGGGAGGAAAAUGGAUUCUGGCGGUACAGGUAGCAUCUCUGUCCCCACUGCUCAAGAUAAACACAAGCGUCUCAGGCAUUAGUGCCCACGUGGUCCCUCAUGACCCUCACACCCCGGCUGCUGCUGUAGCUUCUAUCCCAUCUUAGCACCCGAGACGUAAACACUGCAAAGGA